rnacentral:rRNA from 1 species
AGAGUUUGAUCCUGGCUCAGGAUGAACGCUAGCGACAGGCUUAACACAUGCAAGUCGAGGGGCAGCGGGGAGUAGCAAUACUUCGCCGGCGACCGGCGCACGGGUGAGUAACACGUGUGCAACCAACCCCGUACCGGGAGAUAACCCGCGGAAACGUGGACUAACAUCCCAUGAUACUCGAGAGCCGCAUGGCUCUAGAUUUAAAAUUCCGGUGGUACGGGACGGGCACGCGCGACAUUAGGUAGUUGGCGGGGUAAGGGCCCACCAAGCCGACGAUGUCUAGGGGUUCUGAGAGGAAGGUCCCCCACACUGGAACUGAGACACGGUCCAGACUCCUACGGGAGGCAGCAGUGAGGAAUAUUGGUCAAUGGGCGAGAGCCUGAACCAGCCAAGUCGCGUGAGGGACGAAUGGUCUAUGGCCUGUAAACCUCUUUUGUCAAGGAAGAAUAAAUCGCACGGGUGCGAUCUUGCCAGUACUUGACGAAUAAGCAUCGGCUAACUCCGUGCCAGCAGCCGCGGUAAUACGGGGGAUGCGAGCGUUAUCCGGAUUUAUUGGGUUUAAAGGGCGCGUAGGCGGGACGUCAAGUCAGCGGUAAAAGACUGCAGCUAAACUGUAGCACGCCGUUGAAACUGGCGCCCUCGAGACGAGACGAGGGAGGCGGAACAAGUGAAGUAGCGGUGAAAUGCAUAGAUAUCACUUGGAACCCCGAUAGCGAAGGCAGCUUCCCAGGCUCGUUCUGACGCUGAUGCGCGAGAGCGUGGGUAGCGAACAGGAUUAGAUACCCUGGUAGUCCACGCCGUAAACGAUGCUCACUGGAUCUUGGCGAUACACGGCCAGGGUUCAAGCGAAAGUAUUAAGUGAGCCACCUGGGGAGUACGUCGGCAACGAUGAAACUCAAAGGAAUUGACGGGGGCCCGCACAAGCGGAGGAACAUGUGGUUUAAUUCGAUGAUACGCGAGGAACCUUA